GAUGAACGCUGGCGGCGUGCUUAACACAUGCAAGUCGAACGAAGCACUUUAUUUGAUUUCCUUCGGGACUGAUUAUUUUGUGACUGAGUGGCGGACGGGUGAGUAACGCGUGGGUAACCUGCCUUGUACAGGGGGAUAACAGUUGGAAACGGCUGCUAAUACCGCAUAAGCGCACGGCAUCGCAUGAUGCAGCGUGAAAAACUCCGGUGGUAUAAGAUGGACCCGCGUUGGAUUAGCUAGUUGGUGAGGUAACGGCCUACCAAGGCGACGAUCCAUAGCCGACCUGAGAGGGUGACCGGCCACAUUGGGACUGAGACACGGCCCAAACUCCUACGGGAGGCAGCAGUGGGGAAUAUUGCACAAUGGGCGAAAGCCUGAUGCAGCGACGCCGCGUGAGCGAAGAAGUAUUUCGGUAUGUAAAGCUCUAUCAGCAGGG
rnacentral:rRNA from 1 species